rnacentral:tRNA from 1 species
UCCCUGGUAGCUCAGUUAGAAAAGAAUCCACCUGCAAUGUGGGAGACCUGGGUUCGAUCCCUGGUUUGGGAA